UCUGCGAUAGAAACCAAAAUGGAAACGUGGA
rnacentral:piRNA from 1 species